AGAACAAGCUGCCAGCAGAGCUUAAACAGCAUCAGGCAAAAGUUAAAUAUAUCAAAAGUUUAUGGAUAUUACGUUUAAUUUCGCAAAUCAUCUAAUCAAAUGUCGCAUAAUAAAUGGCGCUCAUAACUGAGUACAGCUGCCUUUCGUGUGGACCAACUGCCGCUCGACUCAACUCGUAAUCAAAACUAUUUGAUAUCAGAGUAAUUUAAAUUUGGAACCUUCAAUGAGUGCAUGGCAAAUGUGUUUGCGGUUCUUGAAAGUAAAACGUCUUCCAUUUGUAGUCGGGGAGGCAUCUGCACUCAUGGUGCGUGCUGGAUGCUGGGCAAUAUUGCGUCAACGACUUGCAAACAAAAUUAGGAAAGGCAACCCAAGCGAUUUCACACCCAAACUAAACAUAAGGCGUUGGUCCAAAGGCGCCGGCAGACGCGGAGGUGGAGGGGCGACGACUAAGACGUCGCAUUGACUCUGAGGAUGUGCACCAGUCUAAGCUCAAGAUGAACGCAACGCCACAAACAUGACACUUGCGCCCAGAGUUUGCCACCGUAUUUGUAUUUUAGCUUAAUGGGUUGGAUUGGUCGGUGGCGUAUAAGCAACCAAGUGGAAACUCUGAAAUGGACACAAUUAGUGUGCAAUUUAUGCGCCAUAAAACUGCAGCAACAACAGCAGCAGCUGACAACGAGACAAUGAUUGUCUCUUGUCUUCGCCGCAAUUUGAAUGUUUAAAUAAGACUCCCCGUUUAUGCUAUAUCCACGCCUUCGCCGCUUUCCCCAUACCUGUCCCCACUCUGUCUGCGCGCAGUUUUCCACUUAAAGCAGCGCGUGGGCAACAGUCGCAAUUACCCACAGAUACACAAGUAUAUCCAUGCAAGGCCGACGGUCGACGUUAAGCUCGACAAUUUGACAAUACCCAACGAAAGCGGACUUCACCUCCUCACAUCCAUAUUUGCAUCCGUCUAGCCGUAUGUGACUCCGUAGCCUCAUUGUGCUACGUGAAGCGUGUGGCUUUAAAUUAAAUGCGACGUGGGGUAUGCGUGCAUGAGCCUUACAUGGAAGCCACUGCUGCUUCGAGUGUGAAUUGUCCGGCGUGGACAGGGGAUUCUUACAGCUUUAUUAUGCAGCCACCACCAGCUGCAGCGUUCGCAUCCACGAGCCACAUAAAUCACGCUAAGGCGCACACAAAACUACCAUUUGAUAAUUUGCGAAAAAUGGGUCUGACAACCGCGAAAGAGAACGCCAUAUUGUAGGCCGAUCGAUGUCAUAGAGAUACAUAUAUAUGGAUAUAUAUAUGUGUAUGCAAGCACAAGUUAAAUAGGUAUGUGAUGCUCACAUUUCACGCCUGCAUCUGCCACGGGGCAGCUCUUCUCGUGUUUUUGCACAAUGUGCACAUAUGUACGCGCUGCGCUGGAAGGGGAACGCCAGUAAAAUCACAAAAAUCUGUUGAACUGUUGCCAUUUGUCCAUCCCGUCAGCCGGCCCAAGGGCAAAGGGACUGGCGCAAAUCCGCCCCUGUGUGCUCUCGUAGGUGCGAGAGUGCGUAAUUAUGCGUUCGCAGUCGUAAAACUGAACUUUAUUGCCGCCAAAGCAAGUCCGUUCAGCAGUGUCUCAUGAUUGGCCCGGCAUCGCACCGAUUUCCCCCUCCUUAUAUCUAACGACUGUCAUUUGAUUGAUUUAUACAUGUGUGAAGAUCAACUGAAGCCUGCCUGCAGUCCAUAAACAAAAUAGCUGGGUAUCUGACAAUUAAAUGAGAUAUAAUAAUACGUA